rnacentral:rRNA from 1 species
UACGGAGGGUGCGAGCGUUACCCGGAUUUACUGGGUGUAAAGGGCGUGUAGGCGGUCUUUCAAGUCCGAUGCUAAAGACCGAAGCUCAACUUCGGGGGUGCGUUGGAUACUGUGAGGCUAGACGGUCGGAGAGGGUAGCGGAAUUUCCGGAGUAGCGGUGAAAUGCGCAGAUACCGGAAGGAACGCCGAUAGUGAAAGCAGCUACCGGGUCGAUUUGUGACCCUGAGGUGCGAAAGCGUGGGGAGCAAACCGG